UGAUCCUGGCUCAGGACGAACGCUGGCGGUGCGCCUUAUGCAUGCAAGUUGAGCGAAGCUUUUCAGUAGUUUACUACAGAAAAUGACUGAGCGGCGAACGGGUGAGUAACGCGUGAGCAAUCUACCUUAGUUACUGGGAUAGCCCGAGGAAACUCGGAUUAAUACCGGAUAUUCUUAUUUUUUCACAUGAAGUUUUAAGGAAAGGUCAGCCGAACUAAGAUGAGCUCGCGUUCUAUCAGCUAGUUGGUGGGGUAAAAGCCUACCAAGGCAACGACGGAUAGCUGGUCUGAGAGGACGAUCAGCCACACUGGGACUGAGACACGGCCCAGACUCCUACGGGAGGCUGCAGCAGGGAAUAUUGUGCAAUGAGCGAAAGCUUGACACAGCGACACCGCGUGUGGGAUGACGGUUCUAGGAUUGCAAACCACUUUCAGGAGGGAAGAAAAUGACGGUACCUCCACAAGAAGACCCGGCCAACUAUGUGCCAGCAGCCGCGGUAAUACAUAGGGGUCAAGCGUUGUCCGGAUUUAUUGGGCGUAAAGAGCUCGUAGGCGGUUCAACAAGUCGGUCGUAAAAGUUUAGGGCUCAACCCUAAAAUGUCGAUCGAUACUGUUGUGACUAGGAUACGGUAGAGGUGAAUGGAAUUCCGAGUGUAGCGGUGAAAUGCGUAGAUAUUCGGAGGAACGCCAAUUGCGAAGGCAGUUCACUGGACCGUGAUCGACGCUGAGGAGCGAAAGCUAGGGGAGCAAACAGGAUUAGAUACCCUGGUAGU
rnacentral:rRNA from 1 species